AAGACACUUUACUAAUGAAAACGGAUGCUUCGGAAACAAUCAAACCGUGCUAAAUGUAAUAAAAGCCGCUCAGUUUUGCAAUAAUUCAUCAUUUCUUUCAAGAAAAAACAUGAACAAGUCAGCACUUUUUCUCUUGCUUCUCAUCGGACUUCUCGUCCUCACCGAAACCAUUACUGCUGCUGUUGAUGAGUGGACUGGUGAUCGUCGCCGUCGUCGCAGAUGGGCAAAGUGGAACGAAAAGAGCAGCAUGCUUAACGAAAUCAUGGAUGCCAUGGAAGAAAAUGAUCUGUACGCACAGCAAUAAGCGUCCAUUGUACAAAUUAAAAUCGAAUGAUAUAAAUAAAUAAUACAAAAUGCGAGAAUA